rnacentral:rRNA from 1 species
GACGUAGGGCGCGAGCGUUGUCCGGAUUUAUUGGGCGUAAAGAGCUCGUAGGCGGCUUGUCGCGUCGACUGUGAAAACCCGCGGCUCAACUGCGGGCUUGCAGUCGAUACGGGCAGGCUAGAGUACUGCAGGGGAGACUGGAAUUCCUGGUGUAGCGGUGGAAUGCGCAGAUAUCAGGAGGAACACCGGUGGCGAAGGCGGGUCUCUGGGCAGUAACUGACGCUGAGGAGCGAAAGCGUGGGGAGCGAACAGG